ACUCCUACGGGAGGCAGCAGUGGGGAAUAUUGCACAAUGGGCGCAAGCCUGAUGCAGCCAUGCCGCGUGUAUGAAGAAGGCCUUCGGGUUGUAAAGUACUUUCAGCAGUGAGGAAGGUGGGUAUGUUAAUAGCAUACUCAUUUUGACGUUAGCUGCAGAAGAAGCACCGGCUAACUCCGUGCCAGCAGCCGCGGUAAUACGGAGGGUGCGAGC
rnacentral:rRNA from 1 species